AACGCAUUACGCCUACUAAAACGUGCGAAGCUUCAUGCCCUGCUAAAACUUGCACGAAAGAUGCGAGUCUCUUUAAUGCUACUAGCGGCUAUCUCUUAGACUACACGUAUUUUGGCGAUUGGUACGAUGGGUGCGGCCGCUUCCUUUUAACAUACCUCGCCAAGACAUCUGACUGGACGGCUGCUCGGGAAAAUUGUUGCGCUGUUGGCAUGAACCUGGCUUCCAUUGAGUCUGCGGGAAAACUAAAAUGCGUUUCCAGAAUUGCCUCAGAAUCUUCUCCACGGAUCAUCGGCGAUUUUUGGCUUUCUGGCACGGGCUCAGGGUGCGAUUCAAAUUUCCGGUGGUGCUCUUUGGGUCGCGAUUUCGUCAACUCUGAGCUCAAGUGGAAGGCUGGACAUCCCAAGGCGGGUCUCAACUGCGUUUAUCUCGAGGCGAGAAACGAGUCCGUGCUCUUGGCCACUGCUUACUGCUCCGAGCAGAAAUAUUUUCUCUGCGAGGCCAAAAAGGCAGCAA